UUGGAGUGCAGUGGCGCGAUCUUGGCUCACUGCAGCUUGACCUUCCAGGCUCAAGCGAUGCUUCCAAGCUCAGCGUCUGCAAUAGCUAGGACUACAGCUGUGCACCACCAUGCCUGGCUAAUUUUUUUGUAGAUAUGGGGUUUCUCCGUGUUGCCCAGGCUGAUCUGGAAGUCCUGGGCUCAAGCAAUCCUCCUGCCUCGGCCUCCCAAAGUGCUGGAAUUACAGGUGUGAGCCACCAUGCCUGACCUCAGAAUUCUUGAUAACCCUGUGAGGAUGGCUUAAGCUAUACUCAGCUGCGGGACCACAGCUCACCGACCUGGGACAAACACCCGAGACGGGCCGAAUUCCAGCUCGCAGGUAGUAAUUCCGCCCCUCCCCUCCCCGCUCCGUCGCGUCCAGUCCAGCUCUUCUAGC
rnacentral:lncRNA from 10 species